UACGUAGGGGGCAAGCGUUGUCCGGAAUCAUUGGGCGUAAAGAGCGUGUAGGCGGCCAGAUAAGUCCGCUGUGAAAUCUCGAGGCUCAACUUCGAGCUGUCGGUGGAAACUGUCUGGCUAGAGUCCGGAAGAGGAGAAUGGAAUUCCUGGUGUAGCAGUGAAAUGCGUAGAUAUCAGGAGGAAUACCGAUGGCGAAGGCAGGUCUCUGGGCUGACACUGACGCUCAUGCACGAAAGGCGUGGGGAGCAAACAGG
rnacentral:rRNA from 1 species